UGAGGGCUGGGUUGGGAGGGGAAAGAGAAAGCUUGUGGUGGUACCUUGUUGGCUGUGUGCUGUAUCUCUCAAGGUUGGCUUCUUUUGGGAGCACUGACUGCUAGCGUGACGAUUGAAUGAGGGUUAAGCGAUAGCUGGACUAAAGCUAGAAGGAGCUGAUUGUGUAUGAGUUUUUGUCCCUGUUUUCCUGUUGUGUUUUAGAUCAGUACUUGCUAGCAUCUCUAUUGAGGCAGCACUUGAUGCUAUUGAGUACAGGGCAAUGGGCAGCAUACUGGUGGGUUUUGAAACCGGGCUCCCUCAGCAAGGUAGUUGAUGGUUACUCUAGCUGUGUCCCCAAACUGUCAGUAUAAGAGUUUGCCCAUGUUAUGGGGGGUGGUGCAUUGUAGGAGGUUCUCGUAACUGAUUUGACUUUAUUCAGAGAUGUGUAUUACUACAUAUUUCACUUACAAAAUAUUUACUCUCAGUAUUGGAACGAACCCCUUGAUUUACAAAUAUUGGUUGAAGUUAUCUUUGUGGUUAUAAAUCAGGAUGAAAACAGAUAGUGAGUUUAUGGUAAGGGGAAGUAGAGGUGCUAUGUUACUCUGGGUAGGAUGGCUUGUUCCCUUAGUGACCUCUCCUUUACCUCUCUGGUUCUUAAUUCUCUGUGUUUAAUAUUGCACUUACUUAUUUCAUGAUUAAACAAACUCAAACAUACUGGGAAUGUUAUGAAUUUUCUUCUGUGUUUUACAGAAGCUACAUAUUUAUAAGAAGUUGAACUUUUUUUCUGGCCUCCUGUAUGCAUUCUGAGCAGCUCCAUAUCCCUGUAGCUCUGUGGCAUGUCAUUUUGCUCUUCUUUCUACCUUGCAAAUACAGAGUGACUAUCUAAAUGUGUGUAAGGACUUGUGCUUAAUUGCUUUGACUUCAUUAUGCAUUGUAUCCUAGAUUCCUCAUAUAAUUAAUAAUGCAUCAAAUGGCUUGCUAGAAUAAUAGAAGAUGCUAUACUCUCAGUUAUCUAUUAUAAAAAUAAGACCUUACUAUAAUUUAAAAAGUAAAAUAAACAUCUGUCUCAUCUUCCACUUGGAUUGGGGUACUCUGCCCUGGGAAUCUGGCAGAGGUGAGCAGGGGCCGUUCCAGGUGUGUUAACUUAAGCUGCUGGCAUGUGUAGGCUGGGGCCAGGCCAAAACAGGGCCAGCCACCUCCUUUGGUUUUUGUCACAAGUCAGCAGACCUAGCCCAGCAAAAUCCUGUCAUUGUGGGCAAAUUCAUUCAGCACUUGUCUGGGGAAGGUGGCACAGCGAUGCACAGCGCCUGAGCGAGCAGCAUCCUUUGUCAUUUGCAGCCCAGGGAAUUGCAUUGUUGCUUGCUGCCCUUGGAGGGCAUCCAGUAUUGAUGUGAGUUGCUCCAGGGAUUAGAUAGUUGAACAGGUAUUAAGAGUCUUAAGGCAAAUUAUCAGGAAGCUGUGGCCAAACCGAGUAGGGAAGUGGGGGUGCCUAAAACUUGGAGAAAGCAGUGAACUGCAGAUUCCCAUUUUAGGAGUAUUUAAAUGAACAUAUUUCAGCCAUUACGGGAAUGAAUUCAGGAGAAACUACAACUUGGUCUGUGUUAGGAACAGGUCUGGAUCUCAUGGCUACAGAAACUAUCCCUGUAAUACUUGCUGGUUUGAGCUUGCCACCUGCAAACAGCCCCAAAUCACUGACGGAUGGAAGGAACAAGAGACGUAAUGUUUAAACCUCUGAACCUUGAACCCUCAGCUGAACCUAACGAUGCUGCAGCAAUUAGCACGUACUCAGCAACUCGGAACAUCAGUCACAUCGAAGUGAUAAGCAGCACAAACUUUUUUAUAGUCAGUCGUGGCUCUUUUGUUUAAUUAUGAGCUGAUAACAAUUAGCCAUUUCAAUCUACUGCUUAAUUUAAACACUAAUUUCCAAUCUGAAGUACUAGUCAGAAUCAACAUUAUAAUUAAUUCUAUGGAUACUUCUUUGGGGGAUAAAGUAUCUAAAGGUAUAGCAGGCUUCAUCUAGGGAUUAAUGUUAUUGCUGGCAAAUGUCAGGCGUACGGACGAUGUUACAGCCUACUUGCUUUCUUCAGAUGUGUGAGUUAUUGAUUGCUUCAUCGAUGGCUGGUUUCUAGCUGUGUUUCAUUAUGCUGUGCAGCAGAGGGUUGUUUGUGUUUUGUUUGGUACGUUUGACCUGUGAUUGCCCUAUGAUAAGUAGUGGAGAAAGCAGGCUUUUUUUUUUUUUUUUUCUUCUACUGUUGCUACUUUUCAAGUCUAGUCAAUAUGCAUAUGCUGCUCUGGUAUGACCCUGUUAACCUGCAUUGGAUUAAAGACUGGAUAAUUUAAAAAGAUUUUAUAUUUAAUUACAUUUAAUAAGCUAAAGAAUUCAGAAGAAAGCAGAUUGUCCCUCAUCAGUAAUGGGCCUGGUGCUGAGGCUGACUCAGUCUGGCUCACCUGGCCACACAACACCAGGUGUUACCACUUAAUGAUUUAUGUAAUGUGUGUGGGUUCAGCCCCCUCAGUGUGAAGCAGUGCAAUAGGGUGUGCAUGGUCUCCUGGUGCAGAGAGGGGAAGCUGUAUGUCUGCUGCCUUUGUAGUGGGACUCUCCAGCAGCUUUGAAACAUCUCUAACCCCCCCAGGCAGUUUUUGGGAGUGCAGAUCUGCUUAUGAAUGAGAACAACUGCAGAAACUUUAGUGGGACCUAAUCAUUUAUCCCCCUACGCCCGCAUUUUCUUUCGAACAGCUCUGAUAAGUCUUACAGCAAGACUUAAAUUGGUUGUCUUUUUCACUUCAAUAAAUUAAAACCACCGCCAGUGUGGCAGUCAGUGCUUGGAGUGAUGCGGCUCUACGUGACUUCCCGCCUAAGCUGUGCUGCAGUGCCAGCGGAGCAGCUUUCAGAAAAUUUCUCUUUACUGCACUGCAGCCUGAAGUGAUGCUAUACACCGCUGAGAAGGAAAUUCAUCAAUAUAAGUAGGCAGCACCUUCAGAAAAGACAGCACUCUUACCUUGAGAACUUUUAAUCAUUUAUCUCCCGUGUUCAAACUUA